GUAAGUUCCCCAGGUGUGCGUGGGAAGAUCUCUGCAAUUUCAAAAGUCCUGGGGACGGUGAGUUAUUUAUUUUUGGUCUCUUAUGUUUAUAAAAGUGAAUCCUCUAGGUGUGCGUUAAAACAGCCUUGCAAUUUGAAAGUCCUAGAGUGGAUGAAUUCUCCAGGUGUGCGUGGGAAGAUCUCUGCAAUUUCAAAAGUCCUGGGGACAGUGAGUUAUUUAUUUUUGGUCUCUUAUGUUUAUAAAAGUGAAUCCUCCAGGUGUGCGUUAAAACAUCCCUGCAAUUUAAAAUUCCUGGAGACGGUGAGGCAUAUGUUUGUAGCCUCCUAUUGUUAGACAAGGGAACCGUCUAGGUGUGCUUUGGAACAUCACUGCAGAUUGAAAGUCCUAGAAUCGGACGCUUGUGACACAUACGAUCGACCAUGCCCUGACGGGAAAGGAUAACCCCCCACCCGCAUACCAGGCAGCGGGGCUGGAGGAGCCUGUGAUGGGGGCACCCGAUGGAAGAUUACGGGAUCGGUAUCAGAGGGAAUGGAGGAGAUAUGCCUGCGAGGGAAGCACGGGACAACUUAUGAUUUUACUUUAUAACUGUAUCUCUCAUUUCUAAUCCUUCCCAUAUUAGGGCCUCAGAAUGUGAGGGCUGAGGUGCAGAGACCCCCUAGUUGUGUAUUUUUUCUCUCUCUUUCCCGUUCAAAUUGACAACAGGUAAAUUUGUGCUUUUAUGCUGCAGUUAGAGAUUGUGAAGUGCUAUAUGCCUCGAGACUCAAGAGACUAUUGUUCACUCAAGAGAUUUCCUAGCCAUCAUUUGGUAUUCCUAAAUGGCUUCGAUUGGUCUCGACGGCCACUGUUCACAAUAAUAAGCCAGUUACCACUGCCCGUGUCCGUACUUGACAGCUGUAAAAUGGAUGUGGGUUUUUAUUGGUCAAGUGAAGGUGACUGGUUCGCCAAUGACGGGUAAGAUUCCUCGAGUGAGGGACAACCUAAGACAGGCACAGUCGUGCAUUGACCUUCAGAAUAAUGGCCUGUGGUCAUGUGGUUUUAGCAGAUGCCUGGCUUUUGUAUCCGUGUCGGGAAUCUGGUCAAGUUUCUGGCUUGCAAAGCAGCUUGAUAUAAGGAAAAUCGUGGACCCAGCAGUUUGACAUUGUAUUCACUGUAUUUUUGACGAAGGAAAAUGCCAGUUUUGUGUCAUUUUCCAGAACCGACUUAACAACAACCCUUGAGGAAGGAAGGAGAGCUCAUUGAAUCCUAUUGCAAAAAGAUUUGACACUAUGUCAGUAGUUUGAAAUUUUAUUUUAAGGUGUCAUGGUAUAAUACGACCGACUUUACUGGGAGGUUGUACAAUUGGGUGUUCUUUGAACAGCAGAGCUUCAUUCUGCAGGUGUCCUAACUCAUCCACUUUGUGUUUUCCUCUGGUUCUCUUCGCUUUUGUUAUCAUACUCAUUAAUCGUUUUGUUGGUUUUGAGGUGGCUUUUGUAUAUGUUUACAACUUUUAAGUGCUUACAUCUGUUAUGUAUUAUUUCACUGCUUCUUGUGCCUUAACGAUUGUAUGCGAACUGGAGAGGCGCAUAGAGUAGGGAUUUUGCGUCGCGGAAUGCUUUCUGUAGUUGUAUGCUGCUUAGGGACUCCUCUCCACUAUAACUAUGUCUCCCUAGAGUCAGACAAGCCCGGUUGAGCCAAUUGGUCGGCCUUGCAGAGGAGCGAUGGAGUGGCGCUCACCGACCAUCCGGGUCCUGACUGCUGCGCGCGAAUUGCUGUAUUUUGUGUGGCCUCUUUCGAGGCCAAGGGAGGGAGUGUUAGGAAGCAUUAUUAAGGGUAGGUUGUGUUCAGAAACUUUAUUGUUAGGUAGUGCUCACGUAAGGUAGUACUAGCAAGUCUGGAAACUGUUAGCUUCACUAGACAACAGUAAGCCAUUAUGUUACACUAAGAACAGACUGAAACACUGAUGGCAUAAUGGGGCCACAGGGAGGGUGAACAGAUAACAGGACAUUGAAACCGUGUUAGAUUGCACGUAGCUCAUACUGAGGUAACUGAAUCUUAUCUCUUCUGGAACCAAUACUAUUAGAGAAUACCGCUUCUUACCAAAUAAGGAUGUAGCACUGGGAUGUGAGGGGCUAAAAGCUAGACAAAGAGAACAAUAGAUCAGAACGCCUUCUCCAGCUGGACAAAUGUCUAGCUGUAACCGAUUCUCUCUCGAAUAAAGCAGUCUGUUUCUUAGAA